ACUUCGGUUUGGGUGGCGGACGGGUGAGUAACGCGUAAAGAACUUGCCUCACAGUUUGGGACAACAUUUGGAAACGAAUGCUAAUACCGGAUAUUAUGAUUGAGUGGCAUCACUUGAUUAUGAAAGCUAUAUGCGCUGUGAGAGAGCUUUGCGUCCCAUUAGCUAGUUGGAGAGGUAACGGCUCACCAAGGCGAUGAUGGGUAGCCGGCCUGAGAGGGUGAACGGCCACAAGGGGACUGAGACACGGCCCUUACUCCUACGGGAGGCAGCAGUGGGGAAUAUUGGACAAUGGACCAAAAGUCUGAUCCAGCAAUUCUGUGUGCACGAUGAAGUUUUUCGGAAUGUAAAGUGCUUUCAGUUGGGAAGAAGAAAGUGACGGUACCAACAGAAGAAGUGACGGCUAAAUACGUGCCAGCAGCCGCGGUAAUACGUAUGUCACAAGCGUUAUCCGGAUUUAUUGGGCGUAAAGCGCGUCUAGGCGGUUAAUUAAGUCUGAUGUGAAAAUGCGGGGCUCAACCCCGUAUUGCGUUGGAAACUGGUUAACUAGAGUACUGGAGAGGUAAGCGGAACUACAAGUGUAGAGGUGAAAUUCGUAGAUAUUUGUAGGAAUGCCGAUGGGGAAGCCAGCUUACUGGACAGAUACUGACGCUAAAGCGCGAAAGCGUGGGUAGCAAACAGGAUUAGAUACCCUGGUAGUCCACGCCGUAAACGAUGAUUACUAGGUGUUGGGGGUCGAACCUCAGCGCCCAAGCUAACGCGAUAAGUAAUCCGCCUGGGGAGUACGUACGCAAGUAUGAAACUCAAAGGAAUUGACGGGGACCCGCACAAGCGGUGGAGCAUGUGGUUUAAUUCGACGCAACGCGAGGAA
rnacentral:rRNA from 1 species